GAUGAACGCUGGCGGCGUGCUUAACACAUGCAAGUCGAACAGAAAGGCUCCUGCUUGCAGGGGUACUCGAGUGGCGAACGGGUGAGUACCACGUGGGUGAUCUGCCCUGCACUUCGGGAUAAGCCUGGGAAACUGGGUCUCAUACCGGAUAGGACGUUGGUUUGGAUGCCAUUGUGGAAAGUGUUUCGGUGUGGGAUGAGCUCGCGGCCUAUCAGCUUGUUGGUGGGGUAAUGGCCUACCAAGGCGUCGACGGGUAGCCGGCCUGAGAGGGUGUACGGCCACAUUGGGACUGAGAUACGGCCCAGACUCCUACGGGAGGCAGCAGUGGGGAAUAUUGCACAAUGGGCGCAAGCCUGAUGCAGCGACGCCGCGUGGGGAAUGACGGCCUUCGGGUUGUAAACUCCUUUCGCUAGGGACGAAGCGCAAGUGACGGUACCUGGAGAAGAAGCACCGGCUAACUACGUG
rnacentral:rRNA from 1 species